rnacentral:snRNA from 1 species
GUGCUCCCUUCAUUAGAACAUAUACUAAAAUUGGAAACAUAUAGAGACUAGCAUGGCCCCUGUGCAUGGACAACACAUACAUUUACUAGCAUUUCAUU